rnacentral:lncRNA from 1 species
AUGCAGCGUGGGGUCGGGGAAGGACGAAGGUGUGGGAUCUGGGGAGCCCGGACAGUCGGUGUGGAGGGAUCACAGAGGUGAACGCGGGAGAGCUGGAGGACCAAACCCUUCGCCCAUGGGCGGGAGAGCCUGGAGAAAGGAAUCUUCGUUCGCUUGAGUCGGGUCCUUAAGCGGGACCUGUGCGACAGCCGACAGCCGCGCCCGGCGAGGUGUGUCUGUCCUUCUCUCCCCGCCCCUCAGUUUCCCUCCCGCAAGCCCGACUUCAGCCCUCUGGCCUCCAGGAGUCCAGGCCUCUACAUGUUGUGCUGGGGAAUGAAGCCUGCGACUUGGACUCCAUGGUGUCUGCCCUUGCCCUGGCCUUCUACCUAACAAAGACAUCUGAAGCAGAAGACAUCUUUAUACCAGUUUUAAAUAUAAAGCG